GACGAACGCUGGCGGCGUGCUUAACACAUGCAAGUCGAACGGUAAGGCCCUUCGGGGUACACGAGUGGCGAACGGGUGAGUAACACGUGGGUGAUCUGCCCUGCACUUCGGGAUAAGCCUGGGAAACUGGGUCUAAUACCGGAUAGGACCACUGCCUGCAUGGGUGGUGGUGGAAAGCUUUUGCGGUGUGGGAUGGGCCCGCGGCCUAUCAGCUUGUUGGUGGGGGGAUGGCCUACCAAGGCGACGACGGGUAGCCGGCCUGAGAGGGGGACCGGCCACACGGGGACUGAGAUACGGCCCAGACUCCUACGGGAGGCAGCAGUGGGGAAUAUUGCACAAUGGGCGCAAGCCUGAUGCAGCGACGCCGCGCGAGGGAUGACGGCCUUCGGGUUGUAAACCUCUUUCAGCACCGACGAAGCGCAAGUGACGGUAGGUGCAGAAGAAGGACCGGCCAACUACGUGCCAGCCGCCGCAGUAA
rnacentral:rRNA from 1 species